AGCCGAGAUAGCUCAUCUGGCAGAGCGGCGCACUCGUAAUGCGCAGGUGUCGGGUUCGAUUCCCGAUCUCGGCUA
rnacentral:tRNA from 1 species